rnacentral:rRNA from 1 species
AGGACGAACGCUGGCGGCGUGCUUAACACAUGCAAGUCGAGGGGGCUCAGCAAUGGGUCACCGGCGAACGGGUGCGUAACACGUGAGCAACCUGCCGCAGAGUGGGGGAUAGCCGGCCCAACGGCCGGGUAAUACCGCAUACGAUCGUAUCGGGACAUCCCGUAACGAUGAAAGAUUUAUCGCUCUGUGAGGGCUCGCGCCUAUCAGCUAGUUGGCGAGGUAACGGCUCACCAAGGCGACGACGGGUAGCUGGUCUGAGAGGAUGGCCAGCCACAUUGGGACUGCGACACGGCCCAGACUCCUACGGGAGGCAGCAGUGGGAAUCUUGCGCAAUGGGCGAAAGCCUGACGCAGGCGACGCCGCGGUGGGGGAGGACGCCCUUCGGGGUGUAAACCGCUCGUUGCCCGGACGGAACGGCCGUCGUUCGACGGGCGUGACGGUACCGGGUAGAGGAAGUCGACCGGCUAACCUCCGUGCCAGC